AUACCUUUUAAACUAAACACAUUCUAUUCAUCUUAAAUAUUCACGCAGAAUAAAAGGUGAAUUCCCAGAACUCUUACUAAUCUCUUCUCCAAUGUUGAGUGAAUGUGUUCAAGUACGACUUAAUUUUCUAUGUAAAUAAGGCCGCCAUGAUGAAUCUCCGCAAGAUUUUACCCCAGUGAAAAAGGCUUGUAAUUUACCCUGAUCAGCUAAGAUGUUAUUUCACUGGAUUAUUUAAUGGAUAGACUUAUUGGGCAUAUAAUUGAAUAAUUCUGUCCUCAACCUGGAAGAUAUGUUUUGUUCCUAACCAUCUAUAAUCCAUUCUCUAUGAAGUUCAGCCUGUCUGCCCAAAUUCCUUUGGAAAUACAUAGUUAGUCAACCAACAUAGAAACAAUCAAACUUGAAGGGGAAAGAAAACUACUUGAGUGUUUCUACUGACCCCCUCCAGAGAUCUGCUUAUGAGUGCAUGGGGAAUGCGGUGGACCUUCUCUCCUGUUUAAAUAUACUUUGGAGGCUGGCGCAUGAAUCUUCAUUCACAAAAGGUAUCAACAGUAUGUCUGUGGAGGUUCCAUUAUUCUUGGGAGUUAUGCCCAGCAACACAAACCAAUCAUGUCCAGCAUGUACAUUGGAUCUGCUAACUUUACUUUAGGAUUCCUAGGAUUUCAAAAGUUCAUCAUGUUCAGGAAAGAAGACAUUUUAAUUGGUAAAUGAAGGAGAGAAAAAUUGCAAGGGAGGAGGUGUAUAGUUUACAUGGUGCAUUUUUUAAGUACUAUGACUAGGGUGAAGAUGGGGAUUUCACUUGGAUAACUGAGGCUUGGUUAACUGAGGAACAGAAACAACACAUCUCUGUGGUCUCCAUAAACAGAUGAUUAACAGAUGAUUAAUAGCUGGCCAUACCAAGUUUGAACCUGACCACCCCAUUUUGGAGUAUAGAAGAUAGCACAUUCUGUUCAUCAGUCAAGGAAACAUGUACACAGCCUUCUACAUAUUGUCCAGGAUCAGAAGAAGCCAGUGGUGUUUUAUAAUUGAAAACCUCAGUGACAUCUCUUCAGAAUUUUUUUCUAGACCUUUGAAAUUUUAAACUAAAAAAUCAUAACAUGUAUAUCACAGAGAGAAGACUAUCCGUUUUUUUAUUUAUUUUUUUUAAUUUUUAUUUUUAUUUUUAUUUUUUUUUUUUUUUUAUUUUUUUUUUUUAAAAACAUCACUUUAAAGUAUGUGAGUGUCCAUAUUAUUUGUAUUCUAAUAAAUUUAAAGUUCUGAAAAAAUAAAAAAGACAUACCAGAAA